CAGUCUGGAAUCAGACAGUCAAGUUGAGUUCUUUCUGGCUCAUAUAUUACAUUAAUAAUGAUUCUGGAAUCAGAACUUAGAAUCAUGUUCUGUUCAUCAUGCAAAAGAAGUAAAAGAAACCAGCUCACUCUCUCAUACCAUAGUUGUGUUGGCUAUUCUGCUAAAAAGUAGUAAACGCUUAUUUUGCUCAGUGAAGUAAAGCAAAAAUGACAGAGUGCAUGUGGGGAUGAGAGCAGUUUUGUGUGGAUAGCUAACCUAUUUUAUUUACAUGGCCAUGUUUCCAUUUCAUUUUUAAUGUUCACCUUGUGGACACUUUCUCCAGUGAACACUAUGGCGAUGAAAAAAGUAUUCCAAAGGUUUUGGAAGAUUUCUGGCUUUUUAAAACUCCAUCAGCUUAAAAAAGUUCUUAACUGCUGGGCCUCUAAAAAUCAUGAUUGUAUUUUUCUUUCCCUUGGAUAGUGAUACAAAAUGUAUGAAGAUUGGAUUUUGUGAUCAAACAAUGUUUGUUGAAAUAAGGUACCUUUUACUAGGUGCCUCUAAAAACUUUUCCAUCAAUUUUUACUUCAGACUCUCUGGAGAGACUUGCUGCUACAUGUGCAAAUCUUGACAGAACUUACUGUCUUAUUCUUAAAAUCUGAAGCCCUGAAGCCUACAUCAUGCCUUCUUUAGAAGCAGAAUUUGCCAGUCAUGACAAAUUAUGAGAUGGUUUUGUGGAGACCAAAAUAAGACCACUGAACACAUUUUCACUCAUGGCCUGACACAGGAUUUGAACCCAGUGCUCCAGAAGUUAAAGGGAACCUUUCCCUGAGUAGCACUUUCCAAACACAGCAAUGCUUCGACACAUUGCAGUGAAAGCUAUC